rnacentral:rRNA from 1 species
UUGGAUCAUACCCGUUAAAUGGAUAACUGUAAUAACUCUAGAGCUAAUACAUGCCUCGAUGCCCUGACCCUGUCCUCCUGUGGCUCGUUUGUAGCUGCAGUUGAGGGCGGGGGAGGGGUGCACUUAUUAGAUCAGAAGCCAACCGGCGUUGCGCGUGUAUUCAUGUGCAAGGCUGAAGCACUUCUGGUGACUCUGGAUAAUUGUUACAGAUCGCAGUCGGCCUUGAGUCGGCGACGGGUCCUUCAAAUGUCUGCCCUAUCAACUUUCGAUGGUAGGUGACCUGCCUACCAUGGUGAUAACGGGUAACGGGGAAUCAGGGUUCGAUCCGGAGAGGAAGCCGAGAAAGGGAA